GUGCUACACUAAGCACCCACACCUUCUCCUCGGGCACUACCCACGGCUCGUUCGUUUAAAAUUUAUUUUUAAAUUUUUAAAAAAUAUUUUUUUAAAAAUAAUUUUAAAAUAAUUUUUUAAAAUUAUUUAUAAUUUAUAUUUCGUCAGACAGACGGUCAGGGGGUCGGAGGCGGAGCAGCCGAGGAUUGGGGGGUUUGUGGCAUA
rnacentral:lncRNA from 1 species